CGGAGGGUGCAAGCGUUGUCCGGAUUUAUGGGUUUAAAGGGUGCGUAGGCGGCCCUGUAAGUCAGUGGUGAAAGCCUCCAGCUCAACUGGAGAACUGCCAUUGAUACUGCAGGGCUUGAGUACAGACGAGGUUGGCGGAAUUGAUUGUGUAGCGGUGAAAUGCAUAGAUACAAUCAAGAACUCCGAUUGCGUAGGCAGCUAACUAGGCUGUAACUGACGCUGAGGCACGAAAGCGUGGGGAGCGAACAGGAUUAGAUACCCUGGUAGUCCACGCUGUAAACGAUGAUUACUCGAUGUUGGCGAUAAACUGCCAGCGUCUUAGCGAAAGCGUUAAGUAAUCCACCUGGGGAGUGCGCCCGCAAGGGUG
rnacentral:rRNA from 1 species